UACAGAGGGUGCAAGCGUUGUUCGGAAUUAUUGGGCGUAAAGCGCGUGUAGGCGGCUUUGCAAGUCGGGUGUGAAAGCCCUCAGCUCAACUGAGGAAGUGCGCCCGAAACUGCAGAGCUUGAGUACCGGAGAGGAUGGCGGAAUUCCCCAAGUAGAGGUGAAAUUCGUAGAUAUCGGGAGGAACAUCAGUGGCGAAGGCGGCUGCCUGGCCCAAUACUGACACUCAGGUGCGACAGCGUGGGGAGCAAACAGG
rnacentral:rRNA from 1 species